rnacentral:lncRNA from 1 species
UGAUUUCCUGGCAGGUGUCAUGGAAGUGUCUUGAAGGAGGGGUGCCUUUUUCUGUUUUUAUGCAAAAGGGCCGUAUGGACUAGCAGUAUCCACUUUUUUAUCUUAUUGCACUUUGUUUAUCGAGGGCUAACUUUUUUUUUUUUUUUGACGAAGAUCAGUCCUGAGCUAACAUCUGCUGCCAAUCCUCCUCUUUUUGCUGAGGAAGACUGGCCCUGAGCUAACAUCCAUGCCCAUCUGCCUCUACUUUGUAUGUGGGACGCCUGCCACAGCAUGGCUUGCCAAGUGGUGCCGUGUCUGCACCUGGGAUCCAAAACUACGAACCCUGGGCCACCAAAGGGGACCGUGUGCGCUUAACUGCUGCACCACCAGGCUGGCCCCUGGAGAGCUAACUUUGUAUCAGCUACUAGUACAAGCAGUGUUGUGCUGGUAAUUAAGCUCUGAAAAAAAGCCCUGCAUUGCAGCGUUUGCCAGUUUCCAUGGUGUAAAUAUUUCCCCCCUCAGCCAAGUUCAAGGUCCUGAAGCUCUUGAAAGUGACUGUGGAAUUGAGAAGACGUGCUCGCGAUCAGCUUUCCUGAGCCAGUACAAGUUGGCUCCAGCAUACCACUGGUCAUAAAAGAUGGAAAUUUAGACACAGAAAAUCAGAGAGAACACAGUGUGACAGUGGAAGCAGACAUUGAAGUCAUGUAUCUACAAGUCAAGGAAUGCCAAGGAUUGCUGGAAACCACCAGAAGGUAGGAAAAGGCAAGGCAGGCUCCUUCCUUAGAGCCUUCACAGAGAGCGUGGACAUGCCAACACCUGGAUUUGGGACUUCCAGCCUCCAGAGCUGUGAGAGGCUAAAUUUCUGUUGUUUCAAGCUGCCCAUUUUGUGGUAAUUUUUUUAUGGCAGCCCCAGGAAACUAACCCGACAGGGAUCUUAAAAAUAACACUAAAUGCUAAUAAAUUCAAAUAGUGCCUACAUCACCAUCUAAAACUUCACUUCUAUUUAAAAAAUAGUCUUCUUCCCACGAUUUUCUUAGGGCAUUCUCAGCAGUGGCAUCUCUGUGGAUCGUUUAGAGUUUGACAUGUGUCGGUAAGCUAAUUUGAACAGUUUUUAUUUAAUUAAAUACAUGAUGGAAUUUAUACACUUUUCUAUCAAAGCAAUCACUUGAGGAAAUAUUUCACUUAAGCCAGU